rnacentral:rRNA from 1 species
AUUGAACGCUGGCGGCAGGCUUAACACAUGCAAGUCGAGCGGGCGAGGUUGCUUCGGUAACUGAGCUAGCGGCGGACGGGUGAGUAAAGCUUAGGAAUCUGCCUAUUAGUGGGGGACAACAUUCCGAAAGGGAUGCUAAUACCGCAUACGUCCUACGAGAGAAAGCAGGGGAUCACUUGUGACCUUGCGCUAAUAGAUGAGCCUAAGUCGGAUUAGCUAGUUGGUGGGGUAAAGGCCUACCAAGGCGACGAUCUGUAGCGGGUCUGAGAGGACGGACCGGCACACUGGGACUGAGACACGGCCCAGACUCCAACGGGAGGCAGCAGUGGGGAAUAUUGGACAAUGGGGGGAACCCUGAUCCAGCCAUGCCGCGUGUGUGAAGAAGGCCUUUUGGUUGUAAAGCACUUUAAGCGAGGAGGAGGCUUACCUGGUUAAUACCUGGGAUAAGUGGACGUUACUCGCAGAAUAAGCACCGGAUAACUCUGUGCCAGCCGCCGCCGUAA